rnacentral:lncRNA from 1 species
UUUUUGAGACUCCAAUAUGGGCACAUUAAGAGAACUACAGAGGUGUCUUAGUGAUAAAAUUGAGGAGUUAAAACAAAGAGAUGACUUGAUUGACGAAUUAGAAUCGGAACUUGAUGAAAAAGAUUCUUUAAUCAAAUCCUUACAGAAUGAACUUGAUAAGUAUAGAUCUAUCUUAAAACCAGCAUCGCCACCAAUAAAGAAACGUUUAGCAAUGUCAAGGGACAGAAUUAAACGAUGUGCUAUAUCUGCCGAACCUGCUAAAUUUGAUGCAUUAAGCUUUAAGAAGCUGACAAAAUUUCAGAAGGCAUCCAGGUAUGUGUCUGUGUUCGCUUGUCAUUUUGGUCAAUAAAAGUAAGGAGUUUACGUAUGAGAUUACAAAUCUCUAUGUUCAAGGAUUAAGAAGUUUAUUUUGUAUAUCUGGAUUUAAAAAGUCAUAAUAAUUAUUGGAAUUAUACAGCUAUCAGCCUAGCUUGGAAAAUAUUAUACUCAGAUAAGACUUGUAGCCUCAGGUUUGCAACCUAUGUAUCAAAGCAAACUUAAAUAUCGGGUUAUUUUCGCCAAGUAUAUCAUUUUCGUAUAAUAAUAUACAGGCACAAAAAUGUUUAAUUUUCAAUCGAUGUAACAAAUUAUUUUUAAAUCGACUUUCAUUUGUUGCAAGUGAUGCGCUGAAUCUUAAUGUUUUAGUUGUAAAAAGCAUAUAAGAUUAGCUGACCGAUGAAUAUAAGACGUUUGUCCCAAAUUAUUUCCGAAUGAGAAUGGAGUAUACAUUUUCUUAAGAUAGGCAAAUUGAUAGCACAGAAACAAGACAGGUGCUAGCUGCCAUUCUUUUUGUGAAGUUAUAGAAGUUAAUAGAUAUAUACUGCAUUUGCUCCUUGUACACAUUUCUCAGCACGAGUUAAUAAUUCUUUAUGCCGAGAUGGGAAAAUAAAAAUGUAUCUUUGUUUAAAUGUAUUUCAAAUUAUCUCGCUCCUAAUCGUAAAACCUUGCUUAGAAUGCAGAUAAAUUGAUAGAACCUUUAUCAUAUGACGGAGAAAGCAUUUGUCGGUUCGGCAAUGUAAAGUGGAAGAAAUCUGGCAAAUGCAUUCAUUAUAUAAUAUAAUUAUUACUCAGAUAAAUAAACGUAUUCUCCAGUUGUGAUUGCCAUUACGGUUGAAGGGUCGAUUAUUAUUCAUCAGAACUUUUCUAGUGCACUUGAUCUCAAUCUUUUAUAAAUUCCCAUCAUUAUCUUUUGAACUUGGACGUGAUAUUUGAAUCACAUCGGGGGUAUCGUUUGCCGAUGUCAAUGGAACUAAUAUUUUGUCAAUAUAAUACUUCCAUUGUUGUACAUAAACUGACCACCCACUGCUGAUGGAUUUGUGUAGAUUAGAGCAAAACAACAACAGGGGUCAGUUAAGCUACUGCACCACUAACUUUUAAAUACCGCGAGAGACUGUGAUUUCGCAGCAACAACAAUGCAACGUCCGAGGCGGACUUCAGUUGCCCCCUAAACAAUAAGUAUACUAGUUCUGGUACACGGACUGUCUGAAAAGAAGGUUUUAUUUUUAUUUAGGAAUUGUUAUCAAACACGUAAUGUCAUAUAAAUAAAGCAUAUGAAGAUUUGAAAUACAAUACACAUAUAUAAUUGUAAUUGUUAUUAAAAAUGGGGAAAAUAAAGGUAAAAGUAAAUACUGCAAAGAAGGUGGAUAAAAUAUGACUGGCAAAACAUUGCAUUGUUCAGAAUAAUAAGAUUGUUUCUGAUCAAUAUAAAAGUUACAAUCUCCCCCCCCCCCCAAAAAAAAUAUGCAAAACGUUCUUGAGUGCGAUCAAAUCAAAGAUGAACAAACACAUGUAUUUUGAUGGCAGUUUUAUCUUUAAAAUAUAUAUAUAGAAGAUUUAAUGGCGUCCAUCCGUUCAAACCUUAUCGAAGCAUUCACAUACAUACAUCAACGUAUAUCCCAAAUGAAAGUUCAAUAAAAAGGAAUUUGAAAUACUACUGGUGUUUUAUACGUUCUGGACAAUUCUGUAUUAUUGCUGUCCAAUAACAAAAGUAAUAAACCUUUUAUUCUUUUUUAUUUCAGCUCACGAGAUUUAAUAAAGCAAGCAAUAUUAGAUAAUGACUUUAUGAAGAAUUUAGAAAUGGGACAAAUACGUGAAAUAGUGGACUGUAUGUAUCCAGUAGAAUAUAAACAAGACAGUUUGAUUAUCAAGGAAGGAGAUGUAGGAUCACUUGUAUAUGUUAUGGAAGGUAGUGUAUAUUGUUAAACAUUUAUCAAAGCUUUGCAUAUACAUGUACUUCACUGGUUAUUGAAAUAAUUCACUAGUAUAUCCCAAAUGGGGUUGAUGAUAUACAUGAAAACAAAAGAACUCAUUACAUAAUACAUACAAAAAUUAUGAAAGACAUGGAAUCAUAUAUGUUAUCAAUAGCAAUAUACAUGCAUGCUGUAUAGCAUUAGCAUAUAUAUUUAAUCUGUUUUCAUAAAUUGUAUCAUCGCUUUCCGCUUAUUGCUUCGAAUUUACUUUUAAAUUGAACUAUUUUGCCAUUUGAUAGAAGGCUUUCCGUUUUGAGUUUUCCUUGUUCGGUAUUUUUGCUGUUUCAACUUUUUCAUACAUAUAACUUAGUAAAACUUUAUUGGAGCACAGAAUUACACACAAUAGAAGAUCUUAAUCACUUCUUAUUAUGCUGUCAAAUAAAGAGCCAGCCUACACUAUUUAGCGUCGGAAAAAGCUUGGAGUGAAGAAUGCGUAUUUCAUAUUCAACAAAAACUUGAAAUGAAACGCUUCCAAAAACAACCUUCUUUAAAAGUUUUUUAAAAUUAGAUUUAUCUAGACGACGCUGAUUUUCGUAAUCAAUUGAGGCGUUUAUAUCAUUAGCAAGACAUGAAGCAAUUAUCGGUUAAAAGUGUAUUUUAAAGUUUAUUUGUAGAACUAAAAGGUGCGUUUACAUGAUAGUUCAGCCGUGUGUUCACCUCUUUGAUAAUCUAUAGAUAUUUUAUGUCUUACAAGCUUUCAUGUAUCAAUUUUAAGAUGUGAUUAUACUAUCUCAAGUUUUCUUCUGCGUUAAACAAUUGUUUCUCUAGCUAUGUAAGCUAAACAGGUGAUGUUUCAGGGAAUAUAAAGAUGUUAUCAAUCAAGUUUCCUGGUGUACUGAUAAAAGAUGCUUGAUCUCUGGUAUCUACUAACUUAUAUACAGUAGCAAUUACAGAGAGAACUUGGUGUAGGAGUUAUACACUUAUGAGCAAUUAAUGUAUUUGAUGUGUAUAAUUAAUGUGUAUAAAACUCUCAAUACACAAAAGUAAAAUCACAGUAGUACUAAUCUCCAAGGAAAAUUAAAAAUGGAAAGUCCCUUUUCAAAACGCAUUCUCAACUGAUAUAAGGACUUUAAACCCGAAUUGAGCAUCUUAGUUCUCUCAAAUUACCGAAAAAAAAUGGUAGUGAAGUUAAAUCCAAAAUGAUAUGAAAAAGCUCGAAACGUCACUGUUGACCCUCUUGUAUGAGGUAGAUGAGUCCUACAUGACACAAUGCAAAGAUAAAGACAAUGAUGUGAUUCUUUUGAAUUAGCAAUAAUUAUUUUGUUUAGCAAUAUUCAUCCGAGGCAUGUUUUUUUUUUUUCUUUUUUUUAAAACUUUAUUUAAAUUAAUAACAAAAAAGAGUGAAUCCUCAAAUCGCUAUUUUUCUGUAAUGACAGAAGAAUAUCUUAAAAGUUAAAUUUGAAACAGACAAACACACAACCUCCAAAGAAAAGUCAAAACGGAACGUACCGAUCGUCCCUUAUCAAAUGGCAAAAUCAUUCGGUCACAAUUAAGGAAAAAGAAGACGGGAUUGUGGUUACGACAAUUGGAACAUAUCCGUCUACACAUGUAUACAUGUAUAUACUAGUAUAUAUAAUGUGUCAAGGUCUAAGAUAGGCCGAGUCUAGACAGAUAUUGAUAAACGUAUCAAGGACUAUCAAAGAUCAACAGUAAUUAAUUUUUGUUCUUUGCAAUUCUUUUAUUUCAAUAACUGGAUCCUUCAAAAUUACAUUUUUUAUUAUUCAAUCCAUGAUAAGGAAAUAGUUUAUUCUUAUGACUAAACAAAAACUAUCAUGUCAGUCAAAUGAUGCUUACAUGUAAUAAACAUCAAAGACAGGGUAGUAAAGUUUAUCGAAACAAGUAGGAAGAAGUAAUUAUGAAGAAAAUUACGUUAUUACACGGUAAUCUGAAUGAUAAUGUAUGUACAACCAAUUACACGUUAACAACACUUUACAUGUUAGCUAUUUGUAUUACAGCUAUUUCUAAUGCAGCUCUUGAAUGUUUUUAUUUGUUUUAGUUAAAAAAAAUAUUUGAUUCAUUCUUAAAAGCAGUUAGUUCAAAUAAUAACAAAAUUGAUAGUCACAGUUUGGGAAUGUGGGAUUUAGGGGGUUUAAAAUAAGGAAUGUGGGAUAUAGGGGUAAAACUGUGUGAUCUUGGAAGGUGAAACAAAUGAAAAAAGUGAGAUUUAUAAAAUAAACAACCCGAGUCGUUACCUCGAAGAAAAGCUUUAAUAUACCAUCCUUAGAAAGAUUGGAGUAAAUAAAAUCAAACCUACAUUAAGGUAUACAGUAGCAUUUGCAUUACAAGAUACUGUAUCUUGCCAAAUGCCUUAACCACAGAAUCAUUCAUAUAAACACUUUCCAUGCAUAUAAAUGUCUAUAUCUGAAGUCCGAUUUAAUACACGUGUUUUAUUGCAAGAUGUUACAGAUUGCUCGUGCUGACAGGUUACAAGAAUGUAAAUAUUUAUAUAAAAUGAUAUCAGCAAUUUAUGACAUCAUUCAUCAUAUCAACAACAUAUUAUACGGUUAUUCAGAGGGAAAUAAUUUAUGAAAUUAACAUUUUUUUUUAUUAACCCUCAAACUAUCAUACCUGCUUUUAAUGUCUGGUAUGCUUAAAAUAAGAGGGAUAUAACCUAUCUAAUAAAUGCUAUUCAACACACUAUGCCAAAAGAGAGAAACAAUCAAAAAAAAAUUACCAGGUUAAUACUGAACAUUAGAAUUAAGUUUGAGCAAUACUGACCCCAAAACAAAUAAAAGCAGUAAUAAAUGCAUGUGCUUCGGAAGGGUUCAGUACGGGGGAUAUUACGUAUAUAUAGUAACAAAUAAAGGCAACAGUAAUAUACCGCUGUUCGAAAUUCGUAAAUGGGUUGAGAAAAAAAAAACAAAUCCGGGUUACAACCUAAAUCUGAGGUAAACGCAUCAAAUAUAAGAGGAGAACUACGACACAACAGAAACACAACAUUAAAAUGUAACACACACAGAAACGAACUAUAAUAUAACAUACAAACUAUUUAUUUAUUAAACAUAUACAUUAUUGUACCUUGGUAUUAUUGUUGUUUUUAUUCUUUCUCAGACGACUCUUUCUAUCAAGGGAUUAAUUUUGGGUGUCAAAAUAGGAAGGCCGAUAUGAAAAGUUCUAUAUAAACGAGGAAACGUUCAUCGAUGUCACUUAAUCAAACGAUUGGUAUAGCGAUUUCAUUGAUCUCGUCAACUACUUAUUAAGGUCAUUUUAUAGUAAUGGUCUAUGGCACAGAUUUUCUCAAAAUGUUGGAUACAAAUUUGGGUUGUUGAAUUAUAUCUGGAAAUCGAAAUAGUAAAGCCUUUAUCUCUUUUAUUUUCUAAAGUAUUACUGGUUUUAUUCUUUCAAAAAAAAAUUGAUAUUUGUAUUAGACACACAUAAAACUGACGAAAAACGUUCAUAAGUUUGUCUUAAAAUUAUUAAAUUUCCAAUUUUGAUUCAUGGAAUUUUUUUCAAAAAAGUAUAUGUUGUUGAUACAUAAAUUUCCGUUUCUAUGAUGUAAAAUAAUCACAUGGUCACCGACUUCGUUUUAAGCAAAUUUUGCAUGAGGGAAGUGCAUGCUUUAGUACAUAGUAUUGUACUCAUUCAAAUAAAGAGGUCAAUUCCAAUAAAGAUAUCUAUGAUUCUAAUAUAAUUUAAGAUCUAUAAGUAACAUUUGAACAAUUAAUGAUUCUUGUACAGAUAAAGCAAAUAACAUAUGCAAUUAAAUAUUUGAUCAGCAGUUUCAAUGUAUGCUCAGCAGUUCUGUUAGAUUGUCAAGGUGGACAGAGUUGUCCUCCUUGUAUCUUCACCAGAUAUAUAACAAAACAUGCAAAGAUUUUAAGUAAUACAACAAAAAUAGCAAAUUAAGAUAAAUUCUUAUUCCACAAAUAUUCAACAUGUUAUAGGUUCCAUUAUAAAACUGUCUGUUGAACUCAGAAUGAACUUCCUGUGACGUGUCUCGCGAAAUAUUAAUGAGUUUAUUGCAUGGUUUUGGUGUUGUAUCUCUGUGACCAGUAAAAUAAGGAUCCAAGUUGAUUUCCGUGGCUUAAGAAAGUAUGACAUUGAUUAGUAUUAAUAAGUACAAUUUGCUCUUGUUUUAUAUAGUAGAUGAAAAUAGGAAUGUAAAUUCACAAUUCAAUCGGUAUAACAUUUGAUUCUCUCAUUAAUUGGAGUACUUUACUUUUCUUUUUAAGAUGGCAAAGUUGAAGUGACGAAGGAUGGACAGAAGUUGUGUACUAUGGGUCCUGCCAAGGUGUUUGGAGAGCUCGCCAUUUUAUAUAAUUGUACAAGAACAGCCAGCGUAAAAGGUAAACUAGGGUUUGUCAUUAAAUGUGUUUUAUGAAAUAUCUUUCAAUUCUAUUGCAACUGCAAUACUCAUAUCAAUAUUGCUAUAAUUAUUUGAAACUACUAAUGCCAUAGUCAAUAUCGAGUAGAAUGAGUGGCGAAAGAUACUAAAGGGACGGUCAAAUUAGUAAGUCGGGAAAAAAAAAUUAAAACGCAAUGGCUAAAAAAAAAGAAAGACCAACAAACAACCAACAGUAUAUACAGUACAAUCCAACUGUAGUAUUUGAUUAGAAGCCUUUGGCUUAUGAAAUUUUAAGAUUUCCUUUUCGCAUUAAUAGUAGUAGUAGUAAAUAUUUAUUGCCAAGACAGUUAUUUUCCCCUUGCUCGUAAGCUUAUAAGAAAAAGGACCAAUUUGAUGUGUGUAAACCUUUAAUGGUAAUGAACGAGGCAACAAUUACAUCCAGUCUGAUAUCAAAUGGCCUCUGUUAAAAAAGAACUGAUAGCUUAAAUACAUUGACUAAUACUUAAUCUAGAAACUCCUUUACCUUCAGCUCCGAUCCAAGGUUGCAGAAGACGUGCUAUUAGGUUUUUGUCAAUCAUACGUUUUGUCUAUCUAAAAGUCUUAUAUGUGAACGGGGUUUUGGCUUAUAAUGUUAAGAUGAUGUGGUAUUAUUUGUCAAUAAGAUAAGACUCUAACCGCGACCAAAUGACGCAGAAGUUAGCAACUAUAGUUCACCGUACGGUCUUCAAUAAUGAGGAAAGACCGUACUGCAUAGAGGUCCACAGGGAGACGACAUCACUAAUGUUGUUAUAACUUGUGUCUAAUUCUUUUGCUACUUUGAAAAUAAAAUACGUUUAAGUUACCAAAACGAAACAAAGCAAUCCACAAAAGGCCCUGAAAUGAAAUAAAAAUCACUAGAAAAAUUUACAGCAAGAUUUACAUGAAAUUUGAGUAUUUUCAUCAGGCUUGUUGUAUGACAAAACCGAAAAAUAAUUUGCAUAUCUUAAUAACCAAUCUAUCUUAUAUGCAACACGUUCAUUACAAUUUGUACAGUAUUUUGCACAAUAUUUAUAAAAUUGAAAUUGGAACUUCUUAUAGAUAAAUAAUAUAAUAGUUAUCAAUGUAAUUUUUUUCAGCUUUAAUUAAUUGUAAAUUAUGGGCCAUAGAUCGGCCAUGUUUCCAAAGUAUAAUGAUGCGAACGGGCAUGAUGAGACAGACAGAACACAUGGAGUUCAUUAAGAG